rnacentral:rRNA from 1 species
UUGAUCCUGGCUCAGAUUGAACGCUGGCGGCAGGCCUAACACAUGCAAGUCGAACGGCAGCACAGAAGAGCUUGCUCUUUGGGUGGCGAGUGGCGGACGGGUGAGUAAUGUCUGGGAAACUGCCCGAUGGAGGGGGAUAACUACUGGAAACGGUAGCUAAUACCGCAUAACGUCGCAAGACCAAAGUGGGGGACCUUCGGGCCUCACACCAUCGGAUGUGCCCAGAUGGGAUUAGCUAGUAGGUGGGGUAAUGGCUCACCUAGGCGACGAUCCCUAGCUGGUCUGAGAGGAUGACCAGCCACACUGGAACUGAGACACGGUCCAGACUCCUACGGGAGGCAGCAGUGGGGAAUAUUGCACAAUGGGCGCAAGCCUGAUGCAGCCAUGCCGCGUGUAUGAAGAAGGCCUUCGGGUUGUAAAGUACUUUCAGCGGGGAGGAAGGCGGUGAGGUUAAUAACCUUGCCGAUUGACGUUACCCGCAGAAGAAGCACCGGCUAACUCCGUGCCAGCAGCCGCGGUAAUACGGAGGGUGCAAGCGUUAAUCGGAAUUACUGGGCGUAAAGCGCACGCAGGCGGUCUGUUAAGUCAGAUGUGAAAUCCCCGGGCUUAACCUGGGGAACUGCAUUUGAAACUGGCAGGCUUGAGUCUCGUAGAGGGGGGUAGAAUUCCAGGUGUAGCGGUGAAAUGCGUAGAGAUCUGGAGGAAUACCGGUGGCGAAGGCGGCCCCCUGGACGAAGACUGACGCUCAGGUGCGAAAGCGUGGGGAGCAAACAGGAUUAGAUACCCUGGUAGUCCACGCCGUAAACGAUGUCGACUUGGAGGUUGUGCCCUUGAGGCGUGGCUUCCGGAGCUAACGCGUUAAGUCGACCGCCUGGGGAGUACGGCCGCAAGGUUAAAACUCAAAUGAAUUGACGGGGGCCCGCACAAGCGGUGGAGCAUGUGGUUUAAUUCGAUGCAACGCGAAGAACCUUACCUGGCCUUGACAUCCAGAGAACUUAGCAGAGAUGCUUUGGUGCCUUCGGGAACUCUGAGACAGGUGCUGCAUGGCUGUCGUCAGCUCGUGUUGUGAAAUGUUGGGUUAAGUCCCGCAACGAGCGCAACCCUUAUCCUUUGUUGCCAGCGGCUCGGCCGGGAACUCAAAGGAGACUGCCGGUGAUAAACCGGAGGAAGGUGGGGAUGACGUCAAGUCAUCAUGGCCCUUACGGCCAGGGCUACACACGUGCUACAAUGGCGCAUACAAAGAGAAGCGACCUCGCGAGAGCAAGCGGACCUCAUAAAGUGCGUCGUAGUCCGGAUUGGAGUCUGCAACUCGACUCCAUGAAGUCGGAAUCGCUAGUAAUCGUAGAUCAGAAUGCUACGGUGAAUACGUUCCCGGGCCUUGUACUCACCGCCCGUC